rnacentral:tRNA from 1 species
CCCACCAUAGUUUAUUUUAAAACAUCGACCUGCAAAAUCGAGAAAGGGAUUUGUUAACCCUGGUGUGU